rnacentral:tRNA from 1 species
GCAGUGGUUGUUCAGUAGUAGAAAUCUUGCCUUCCACGCAAGAGACCUAGGUUUGAUUCCUGGCCCGUGCA